UCCUACGGGAGGCAGCAGUGGGGAAUAUUGGACAAUGGGCGAAAGCCUGAUCCAGCCAUGCCGCGUGUGUGAAGAAGGUCUUCGGAUUGUAAAGCACUUUAAGUUGGGAGGAAGGGCAGUAAGCGAAUACCUUGCUGUUUUGACGUUACCGACAGAAUAAGCACCGGCUAACUCUGUGCCAGCAGCCGCGGUAAUA
rnacentral:rRNA from 2 species